AUUCCACCUCCCACACCUUCCCAACCCUGGCUGUGCUGGCCCUGACUGAGAGGAAGGGGCUUCCACUUCCGUCACCUGGCAAAGGAACCUCCACAGCCCAAGAAUGUUAACAUUUACCGGGUGCCGGGCAUGGACCUUACAUAUUUUAUGUAAUUCAAUCCUCCCAACAAACAUAUGAGAAAGACCACACUCAGGCCAAGCACAGUGGUUCCCACCUGAAAUCCCAGUGCUUUGGGAGGUGGAGGCAAGAGGAUUGCUUGAGCUCAGAAGUUCAAGACCACCCUGGGCAACACAAGCCAGUCCUGCACCCCAGCCUUCAACAUGAGCAGCUCUUGCUCUCUGUGGCUCCAGCCCCAGCCUGGACCUAUCUUUCAGAGCCACAAUGCUAAGAGACAGUCCCUGAGUCUUGGAUGACCACAGGACUCACAGUGUCUACGCUGGACAGUUUCUGUUUGCACAACAUUGAGUAAACUUCACAUCCAUCGGGGCAGUUAUCCUUUGGGAUUACUGAUGAAGGUGAGGAGAGGAUGCUGUUCUGAGAGCUGCUGAUAAUAUGUGGAUCCAAACCCACAGGCUUGAGCUGCUUAAUUGAAAUUCACAUCAAAAUAGAAUUCUGGUUUAGCUCAACUUGACUACUACGGAUGAUGAAAAUAAAUCCCUGGGUCACACAAGGAUAGUGAUUGAGUAGAGCUUGUUUGCUGGCAUAGGAAUGACAUUUCAACUGGAACUAAAUUGUCGUCAGUUAACAGAA
rnacentral:antisense_RNA from 1 species